rnacentral:rRNA from 1 species
AACACAUGCAAGUCGAACGGUACAUUUCUAGCUUGCUAGAAGAUGACGAGUGGCGACGGGUGAGUAAUGCUUAGGAAUUUGCCUUUUUAUGGGGGACACAGUUGGAAACGACUGCUAAUACCGCAUAAUACCUACGGGUCAAAGGGGGCGCUUGCGCUCUCGCUGAAAGAGAAGCCUAAGUGAGAUUAGCUAGUUGGUGAGGUAAAGGCUCACCAAGGCGACGAUCUCUAGCUGUUCUGAGAGGAAGAUCAGCCACACUGGAACUGAGACACGGUCCAGACUCCUAUGGGAGGCAGCAGUGGGGAAUAUUGCACAAUGGGGGAAACCCUGAUGCAGCCAUGCCGCGUGUGUGAAGAAGGCCUUCGGGUUGUAAAGCACUUUCAGUUGUGAGGAAAAGUUAGUAGUUAAUACCUGCUAGCCGUGACGUUAACAACAGAAGAAGCACCGGCUAACUCCGUG